CCCCUCGCGUCCUCCCCAUCCCAGCCGCCGUGCGCCUCUCCUCCUUCCUGCCGCUGUCGUGCCUCCUCUCCUCCGGCGUGCCUCCUCCCUAGGCUCAGCAGGAAGGAGGGAGGACGGCGCGUGUCUCUCCUCUUCCCGGCCGCCGCGCGCCUCUCCUCCUCUCCUCUCCUCUCUGCUCCAGCCUGCUUCUUCCUUGGGCUCAGCAGGUGGAGCAUCACGUGCCGGCCCAGCAGGAGGAGCAGCAAACGCCACCAGGGGCGCUUCCUCAGCGGGGUGGAGCGCGGACCGUCCGGUCCUCAGGCCGGCGAGGCGAAUGCUGCGGCGUUGUCGUCAGCGGGGAGGAGCUCGAGCCGCCGCUAGGACGCCGCCAAGCCGCACCAGAGGAAGGGCCACCGCUGCACCACGGGAGAGGUUGGCGCAGAUGUCAUGCGAUUAAGUGGCAAGCUCCCUAUUUUGGCCAUGGGUGAGGCGUGAUUUUGAUCUAUUGGGCAUUUAUGGUGUGCAACAUAUAUCAGAUGAUACCAAGUUUGAAUAUGGUACUGGAUGUAUGCGGCGGAGCUGAAUGAUGGAUCACUCACAAUUCGUAGUGCUGCCUCACAGGUAUGCUUUGACAGAGAUGCUCCGGGAUCUUCUUUAUCUUCCUAUUGGAUGCUUCCAUAUCUCCAUUUCAGUAGAGGUUGACAUAAGAGAGAAGGGGCAGGUUCAGAUUAGCACACCACCAUCCUUUGGCGGUUGGCAGCUCAGCUCAGCCGUGGCCAUGAUGCACCCCCUUCCCAGUUUUUCAAUGAGGACGAGCUUCCGGGUUCUGCAUCUCACAAGGAAGUUGUUGGAGUAAUCUCGAAUGGUGUGGAGCUCUAUCACUUUUGCUGAAUGGCUCAACGAGCCAUUGUUUCUGCAACCUGUGAUGUUGACCAAGGUUUGUCAAACUUGAGCAUCCAUCUUCAUUCCUUGCCUCCUUUCCUCAAAUUGUGAUGUUUCUAAGUUUGCACUAUACCUACCAAUGUCUGGUUCAGUGUGGGGGAAAAGAAUUAUAUGGGAAAAUUAUUAAUUUCCCUUCCUGAUCAUAGGCCAUUCUUUGGUAUUUAGUAGUUUAUGUCAAGAUUGUAGAUACUUUUCUAUAUACUGGAUGGAACACUCACUUCUUUAGUUGACAUCCUGAUAUAGUUUGUUAAUAUUUCGUUUCAGAAUAUCUGAUUUUCUGCAUGUUUGUUGUAUAGCUUACAAGGAAUUUCAUUCAUUUGAUGAAUAUCGCCUUCUACAGUACAGUAGCAGGCUGAGCCGGAAGGCGAGCUCACUUCUUCUGUUGAGGCCUUCAUAGAUCUUUGUUAGCAUUUCAUUUUGAAGUUCUACGUUUUCUUUGUUUUUCUGAUAAAGCUUACAAGAAACUUCUGUCAUGUUUCAUCUAAUAAUGAAUAUUACUCCCUUGGUUUUAAAAAACUUGUCGCAACAUUGUCUAUAUACAAUGAUAUCUACAUAAAGCUCUGACAUGUUUGUUUGGAAGGAGGGUGGUACCUUCUAUAUUGCACUAAGGUGAAGCGCCUCAAAGAAAUGAUGGGCCAUCACCUGAUGAAUAUUGCCUUCUACGGCUGAAAGCGUAGAAGUUUGGACGAUAUUUAACAUAUUUAUUUAUCAGUACCAUGCUACUUUUGUAUGUGUGGCAGCCAACAAGUGUCAGAACUAUCCAGUUGUACUUUCCGUUUUGUUCAGAUGGUCAUAUGUUGGACUUCAGUUUAGCUGUUGACAUUUUGGUUUAGAACUGCAGAGCAUAACUUUCAUUUAUGUGAAUAAAGAUGUUAGAUUAGUAGCUAAAUCAGUGUGUAUAUUUGAUUUUAUUUGUUCUACCCUGUGUUUUCCAAUACUAUAUUUUCCAUUCACUGAAUAGAAAUGAGUGUGACACCUGCUGGCCGCCGUAUUUUUGAAAUAUGCAUAUCCCCAGGCUAAAGGAAGUUCAUACCGAAAGAUCUGGCACUAAACUAGAAGAUAAACUCGAGUUAAAGUACCAUGGCUGAUGGAACGAUUAGAGUGCAGCCAUCGACACCACUCGCUGUGCCGUCUCCGAGAAGAGACAUAGUGCGUGUCGUGCCAUCGCUGGAGAAGGAGGUGUGACACACCCUUGGGAGGAUUCUAGGUACUCACUCCCCUCUUCCUCUUGAUUUACCUCCUUCCCUCUCUCUUCCAAUCCCAUAAUUGUCGUUCUUUGUUUUGUGCAUAUGUGUUUUGUAUCCAUGCACAUAAAUUGUUUGAGGAAAUGUCCAAGCAGGCUCCAGGUAUACAAAGCUAUCUACCCUUUUAGUGCUAUAUUGUAUUGACAAUCUUUUGAUAGUCUCUAUUUCUUUCGGUCUUGAAAGGUAGGAGUGUGUAUUAUGGAAAUUUUGAUGUGCUCUUUCUAAAUGAAGAAACUAACUCAUUCAUGAACCUGCACUAAUUAUAAAGAUUCUUAGUUUAUCUCCAUGGUAUCAUUAUGAUUUUGAUGCUACAGGCUCAGACUAUUUUCCAUAUUUGAUCUUAUCUACUAUCUACAGGCAUCCAAUCUAACUAUUACAGUACAACCUAAUUAUUAUUUUUACCUGAUACACCUACGCCUUGCGAAUAGCUAUAAUUUUAACUUAUUUCGUAGACAACGUCAGCCUAUGAUAGAUAUAUAUUGCCAUCUGGUCUGAGAUUUUUCUAGAAUCAGUGACCCCAUGUGGUAGCUCACUUGGUCAUAUAAAGUUCAGUACUUAAUCAUAUUGUCCUAUACCACAUCAACCAGGUCAUAGAUAGAUCAGUACUUAAUCAGGUUGACACAAGUAAAAUUUCCCGGUGUUUCUUGCUAUACCAUAUCAAGUAAAAUCAGAAUUUGUAGCCAUAUACAUCACUUCUCAUAUUAGUUUAUAAAUAUUUGUACUUUUGGAUCCAUCAUUUCCUUACAUUUCAUUUUCUUGUGUUGUAGGUAAAUAUGAACGCCCUCCAAAUUAAUUAGUUGCUUGCAAGGCCCAUAUGUGAUUUAACAUUGCAAAUAGUUCUCAUGUUAGGUUGCUACAUCAAGUUUGUCAGUUUGUUCAUGUACUUUCUGUUGAGGGCUUGAGGCUGCAAGAUGUCGAUAUAUGUCACUCCUAAGUCUUUCAUAUUUAUUGAUAUUCCAUUUAAUUGCAAACUGUGGAGGUGGCCAGGUUUCCCUCUCUACUUAUCAAUUAUGUGCUAUAAAAGAUGCACUAUUGGCAUGCUGCCUUUCCCAAGAUGCAUCUACUUUGUGGUAGAUUUAUGUAAAGAAGGUAUGAUGUCUAGGUAACUGCAACUCAUUUCUUUGUGUUUGAGAUUCGGUCCCAUGAUUCUGUUGCUGGUUUGAAGCCGAUUCGGCCGGCCAUGACCAAGGUGUAUUUGGAGGAAUAUAAUGAAGUUCUUAGUGCUUGGUAACUGAUGUAUUUUGGUUCAGGCGCUCCUUUGUACAACCACUGCUGGCGCUCGAGGUGGCGCUGCACCGUCUAUUCAUGCAUCACCAUCAUCCUUGCAUCGAGGUGGCGCUUGAUCCCUGGUGUGAAGUAUAUAUAAUAUACUUAUAUAUGAUUUUUUUACGAGGAUCUUACAGACGAUGGUCAUGGUGGAGAGGAAUGUUGCUGCUAAUCCAGUUGAAUGAUGUGAACCUGGGUGAGAUCGGGUGUUGCUUUGAAGGAAACGGUGUUCGUUGAGUCUGUGGCUCCUUUGGUGAAAGGUAUGGCUUGCCACGGGUGUUCCAGGAUGUACUUGGGGGCCUGCGCCUGCUCAGACUCGAUUUUGCCGGUGUCAUGCAUCCGUCAGGUCGGCAGUUGUGGUUUGGUGUUUCCUGUGAUGUUAAUCUGGAGCCCAUUUCGUAGGCUAUCCUUUAAUUUUGCAACAUUCCAUUUUGUAUUAUUUUAAGUUGGUACAUCAGUGAUCUAGCCCACUUUCAUGUAACACUACUUAAUAUAGUACAAACUUUUUAUCAGAACCGCGAGCCAAGACAAGCCCCAAAAUAUUCCUCUA